UGGGGAAUAUUGCACAAUGGGGGAAACCCUGAUGCAGCGACGCCGCGUGAGCGAAGAAGGUUUUCGAAUCGUAAAGCUCUGUCCUAUGAGAAGAUAAUGACGGUAUCAUAGGAGGAAGCCCCGGCUAAAUACGUGCCAGCAGCCGCGGUAAUACGUAUGGGGCGAGCGUUGUCCGGAAUUAUUGGGCUUAAAGGGCAUCUAGGCGGUAAGACAAGUUGAAGGUGAAAACCUGUGGCUCAACCAUAGGCUUGCCUACAAAACUGUUGAACUAGAGUACUGGAAAGGUGGGUGGAACUACACGAGUAGAGGUGAAAUUCGUAGAUAUGUGUAGGAAUGCCGAUGAUGAAGAUAACUCACUGGACAGAAACUGACGCUGAAGUGCGAAAGCUAGGGGAGCAAACAGG
rnacentral:rRNA from 1 species